CAAGUCGAACGAGUUCUGAUUAUUGAAAGGUGCUUGCAUCUUGAUUUAAUUUUGAACGAGUGGCGGACGGGUGAGUAACACGUGGGUAACCUGCCCUUAAGUGGGGGAUAACAUUUGGAAACAGAUGCUAAUACCGCAUAAAUCCAAGAACCGCAUGGUUCUUGGCUGAAAGAUGGCGUAAGCUAUCGCUUUUGGAUGGACCCGCGGCGUAUUAGCUAGUUGGUGAGGUAACGGCUCACCAAGGCAAUGAUACGUAGCCGAACUGAGAGGUUGAUCGGCCACAUUGGGACUGAGACACGGCCCAAACUCCUACGGGAGGCAGCAGUAGGGAAUCUUCCACAAUGGACGCAAGUCUGAUGGAGCAACGCCGCGUGAGUGAAGAAGGCUUUCGGGUCGUAAAACUCUGUUGUUGGAGAAGAAUGGUCGGCAGAGUAACUGUUGUCGGCGUGACGGUAUCCAACCAGAAAGCCACGGCUAACUACGUGCCAGCAGCCGCGGUAAUACGUAGGUGGCAAGCGUUAUCCGGAUUUAUUGGGCGUAAAGCGAGCGCAGGCGGUUUUUUAAGUCUGAUGUGAAAGCCCUCGGCUUAACCGAGGAAGUGCAUCGGAAACUGGGAAACUUGAGUGCAGAAGAGGACAGUGGAACUCCAUGUGUAGCGGUGAAAUGCGUAGAUAUAUGGAAGAACACCAGUGGCGAAGCGGCUGUCUGGUCUGUAACUGACGCUGAGGCUCGAAAGCA
rnacentral:rRNA from 2 species